UACGUAGGGUGCGAGCGUUGUCCGGAAUUAUUGGGCGUAAAGAGCUCGUAGGCGGUUCGUCGCGUCGGCUGUGAAAUCCCGAGGCUCAGCCUCGGGUCUGCAGUCGAUACGGGCGGACUGGAGUUCGGCAGGGGAGACUGGAAUUCCUGGUGUAGCGGUGAAAUGCGCAGAUAUCAGGAGGAACACCGGUGGCGAAGGCGGGUCUCUGGGCCGAUACUGACGCUGAGGAGCGAAAGCGUGGGGAGCGAACAGG
rnacentral:rRNA from 1 species